rnacentral:rRNA from 16 species
UUCAUAGCGACGUUGAUUUUUGAUCCUUUGGUGUCGGCUCUUCCUAGCUUUCCACCCGCAGCCGAGUGGAAGAGUUUGAUUGUUCA